rnacentral:rRNA from 1 species
UAGGGAAUCUUCGGCAAUGGGGGCAACCCUGACCGAGCAACGCCGCGUGAGUGAAGAAGGUUUUCGGAUCGUAAAGCUCUGUUGUAAGUCAAGAACGAGUGUGAGAGUGGAAAGUUCACACUGUGACGGUAGCUUACCAGAAAGGGACGGCUAACUACGUGCCAGCAGCCGCGGUAAUACGUAGGUCCCGAGCGUUGUCCGGAUUUAUUGGGCGUAAAGCGAGCGCAGGCGGUUUGAUAAGUUUGAAGUUAAAGGCUGUGGCUCAACCAUAGUUCGCUUUGGAAACUGUCAAACUUGAGUGCAGAAGGGGAGAGUGGAAUUCCAUGUGUAGCGGUGAAAUGCGUAGAUAUAUGGAGGAACACCGGUGGCGAAAGCGGCUCUCUGGUCUGUAACUGACGCUGAGGCUCGAAAGCGUGGGGAGCGAACAGGAUUAGAUACCCUGGUAGUCCACGCCGUAAACGAUGAGUGCUAGGUGUUGGAUCCUUUCCGGGAUUCAGUGCCGCAGCUAACGCAUUAAGCACUCCGCCUGGGGAGUACGACCGCAAGGUUG